GACGAACGCUGGCGGCGUGCUUAACACAUGCAAGUCGAACGGAAAGGCCCUGCUUUUGUGGGGUGCUCGAGUGGCGAACGGGUGAGUAACACGCGAGUAACCUGCCCUUGACUUUGGGAUAACUUUAGGAAACUGGGGCUAAUACCGGAUAUGAGCUCCUGCUGCAUGGUGGGGGUUGGAAAGUUUCGGCGGUUGGGGAUGGACUCGCGGCUUAUCAGCUUGUUGGUGGGGUAGUGGCUUACCAAGGCUUUGACGGGUAGCCGGCCUGAGAGGGUGACCGGCCACAUUGGGACUGAGAUACGGCCCAGACUGCUACGGGAGGCAGCAGUGGGGAAUAUUGCACAGUGGGCGGAAGCCUGAUGCAGCAACGCCGCGUGCGGGAUGACGGCCUUCGGGUUGUAAACCGCUUUCGCCUGUGACGAAGCGUGAGUGACGGUAAUGGGUAAAGAAGCACCGGCUAACUACGUG
rnacentral:rRNA from 1 species